GAUGAACGCUGGCGGCGUGCCUAACACAUGCAAGUCGAACGAUGAAGCCCAGCUUGCUGGGUGGAUUAGUGGCGAACGGGUGAGUAACACGUGAGUAACCUGCCCUCAACUCUGGGAUAAGCCUGGUAAACUGGGUCUAAUACCGGAUAGGAGCGUCCACCGCAUGGUGGGUGCUGGAAAGAUUUAUCGGUUUUGGCUGGAUUCGCGGCCUAUCAGCUUGUUGGUGAGGUAAUGGCUCACCAAGGCCACGACGGGUCGCCGGCCCGGGAGGGUGACCGGCCACACUAGGACUGAGACACGGACCAGACGCCUACGGGAGGCAACAGUGGGGAGUAUUACACAGUGAGCGCACGCCUGAUACAGCGACGCCGCGUUAGGGAUGACGGCCUUCGGGUUGUGAACCUCUUUCAGUAGAGAAGAAGCGAUAGUGACGGUACCUGCAGAAGAAGCACCGGCUAACUACGUG
rnacentral:rRNA from 1 species